rnacentral:rRNA from 1 species
GCGUUUCUCACGUUUCGACGCGGACGGUACGUUUGCGCGCGGGUAUUCGAGGCGGUCCCUCGUCCGGCGUCUCGUACGUCGGACGGCACUCGCCUCGACGCCGGUCAGCGACGAAUCUUCGGGCCUCUUUCCGACCCGUCUUGAAACACGGACCAAGGAGUCUAGGGUGCGCGCGAGUCGCGGGGUAUCCGAGGAGUAAUGACCCUCGUCAAGAUACGAAACCCGUUCACGUACAUUGUACGAAGGCGUAAUGAAAGUGAAAGAGGGCGCCUCGCGCGUCCUCGGGGGAAGACGGUGCGCUGCGAAAUACGUUUCGCGAUCGUAUAUGUAUCGCGACCAGCCGCCCGCAUUCCCAGGGCGUCCCGCCUGUGCGACGGCGAUCGGGGCUCGCUCCGGUCGUCGACGAACUGGGGCGCACCUAUAGCGUGCACCCUGGUACCCGAAAGAUGGUGAACUAUGCCCGGCCAGGAUGAAGUCAGGGGAAACCCUGAUGGAGGUCCGCAGCGAUUCUGACGUG